UUCAUGCUGGUGAGUGUGGUGUCCCAACCACAGACGGAGGGGCUGUCACGCGGCGGGUCCCACCUCCCACUCUGUCAUGGCGGGAUUUUUGUCAUGUUUUUCAGAUUUCUCUGGAAUCCCCUUGGCCAAGAAGGGUCCAUUCAGCUUGUUGGUGCGGGAGCUCAGGAUUUCAUUUUUAGUUCUCACAUGGCAGGUGAGUGAAAACGUUAUAAGGGACUAUCCAAACCUUUCCCGAAGUGGCUGUAGUAUCUUAACUCUCACCAGUCGUGUGUGACAGUUUUGGUGUCUUUAAAAGUCGGUGGUGUCAAGAUUUCACAACUACCUCUUCUGCUGAUUGUGUGGUUCUAUCUGUUCGUGGCUUAAACUUGCAUUUCCCUCAUGACAAAAAGUGUGAAACCAUCAGUCAUGAACUGUCUGUCCAUUCCAAUCUCUUCUGUUCAUUUUUAAAGUGGGGCUGUGUAUCUUUUUAUUGAUUUAUGAUCAUUCUUUCUAUAUUCUGGAUACAAGAUUUUUGUGUGGGAUUUGUUUUGCAGUAUCUCCCCAGACUUCCUGGUCAUUUUCUUUGUAGUGUCUUUUGAUAACUAGAGCAUUUUCCUUCGGAUAAAGCCAAAUUGAUUAUUUUUAAAUGUGCUUGUCACUGCUUUUUCCUCCCUGCCAGGAAGUGUUUGUGCACUCUCAGGUCACACAAGAGAUGGUAAUUUGUCAGUGAGCUGAGGAAGGCAGAUCUGGCCUCAGCUAUGAGGGUGGGUAGCACCCAGCCCAUUGCAGACCCAGACUCCGGAGGUUCCUCUGUCUUCUUGGGCUGGGGCGUCCAUCUCCUCCUGCCCGCAGACACAGGAGUUUCUGGGUCCCAGGCCUUGCGCUCUGGGACUGACACCAGCGGUUUGGGCUUGGACUGAAUGACGCCACCCGCUGUUCGGGUUCACUGGCUUAGGGACAGCGGUUUGUGGGACUUCUCAGCCUCCGUGAUCAAGGAGCCGAUUCCUGUAAUAAAUCUCCUCCUAAACGUAUCGCCCAGCAGCUCUGUUUCUCUGGAGAACCCUGACUCACAUAUGGGGGCCUAGAGGUUUGGUUGUAGCAGGCCCCAGGCCCUGUUCCAGCACCUGGCAGUACCCCCAGCUGAUGGGCCCCAGGUGGGGAGGGACAGCCGGCCUGAGGGAGGUGCCUCCUGGGCCCCACCGUGGGCUCCCGUGCAGACAGGCAGGGUGGGGAGCAAGGACAAGGCUGUCCCCUCCUCUGGCCUCCGUCUACAGGUGGGACUUCUUUCCAGCCCUUUCUGUGGGUGGGGGGUGCACACGGGCAGGCCAGCCCCAGGCGCCCUCAGGACCGCACCCUAGGCCUGCCCUGGGGGGAGUGGGGAUGGGGCUGGGGCCUCACCUUGCUCAGGACCCAACCCUGGUGCAGCUCCACUCCUGGCUUUUCGCCUGCAGGACAGAGGGGCCUGGAGUGGCCUGGCCCUGCCGUGGGCAGCAUGGCGUGGGCAUGCAGGGCGCAGACUGACCACUCUGUUCCCACACCUGGCUCAAGGUGGGUCGAGGGCCUUCCCAGCCUUCUCAGAGCUAACCCAGAGGAGUGCACAGGACAGCUCGUCUCCCCCGAGAGCCACAGGGAGUGCUGGACCCGCCUGAGCGGGGGGCAUAUGGGGCUCAGCACAGCACUGUGGGGCCUGGAUGAGAAGCCGCUGGUCUCUUCUGCCCCUCCCUGACAUUGAGGACUGGAACCUUGGGGAGCCUUGGGUGAGGUCGCCUCCCAGGAAGUCCUGAGCUGAGACAUCGCGGGCCCAUUUUGAGGUGGCUGUGAGGGGUACAGGUGAGUGUACUUGGGGUUCCUUCAAGGCCAGGCCCAGCAGGUCACCUGCAGAAGGCCUUGGGCAGGUGCCCCCCACCCCGUCCUGGAACACCAUUCUUCCCCAUCGCCCCAGAGGACCAGGCCCAGGCAAGGCUGGGAAUGCUUAGCCGACCUGCUCAGCAUGAAGCUCCUGCCCCAACCCCCUCCUUCCAGGUGCCCGGCCUGGGCUCUGCCAGAGGCUGAGGUGCCCAGGGUGUCAGGACGGCCACCCUGAAGGCCCUACCCCUUUAUAGGAAAUAAAGUCUUCUUUCCAAAUUU